AAUAUACUCCCUUCGUCAGGAAUUAUUUGUCGCAGAAAUUGAUAAAAACAGGUGUAUCUAAAACUAAGAUAUGUUUAGAUACAUCCAUUUCUCCGACAAGUAAUUCCGGACGAAGGGAGCGAUGA
rfam:Triticum aestivum genome assembly, contig: Triticum_aestivum_CS42_TGACv1_scaffold_289836_4AL